rnacentral:lncRNA from 1 species
GUGGAAUGCAUUUUUUACACAGUGAAUUUAUCCAUUGUGUUGAAUGUCUAUAUUAUACAUGUAAGUGUGCUUCCCCAGAGGAGAAGCCUUGUAAGGUGAGUAAGCUCUUGAAGAGCUUGUGAUGUUGAAUAUAUGGACGAUAUGAUAGUAAACCACAAUAAAGUCAUAAAAACAUGUGAUUGACAUAUGUAUGUUACAAACACCGAGUCCUCUGAGUUCAAGGCUGACACGCUCUGGGUGCAGAGUGGGUUGGAGGGGAGAGAAUUUGGAGGAGAAGAGACUACUGAGAAAGCCUUGUCAGUAGUUCUGUCAUGAAAUUUAGGUUCCUAGAUGUUGAAACAUUUACUCUUUUUUUUUUUUUCCAGAGAGAAGGAGCGUGCACGCACACAUCAGCAAGCAGGUGGAGGGGCAGAGGGAGAAGGAGAGACAAUCUCAGGCAGGCUCCAUGCUCAACACAGAGCCUGAUGUGGGGCUCAGUCUUACGACCCGGAGAUCAUGACCUGAGCUGAAAUGAAGAGUCAGAUGCUUAACCGACUGAGCCACCCAGGCACCCCUUACUCAUUUUUUAAAACAGAGCUAAUCUACAGAUUGAAAUCACUGGUUUCUAGUUCAGUGAAAGAAAAUGUAAUGGCAUUGCCACAAAUGAAAAGAUCAUACAGAAUCUUAAACCCAAAGAUCAUACUCAAUAAAGAAAUGAAAUCAGAAUGCUCUUCUGGAAAGAGGAAAUCAAAAUGGGAACAUGUCCAUCUCUUUGCAAUUCACCAGACAUCCGGGCCCUUCUUUCGGGGUCUGCAUAGACGACUGCAGAAACGGCAGGCAUGGAGGCAGAGGAGAGAGCGAGCGCGCAGCAAAUCCCAGGGAUGGCACAAUCGCGUCUGUAACUGCAGGAAGCCACGCUGACCCGUGUCCAGGCUACUGGACUUGGAAGGAGCAGCUGCUAGUGAUGCUGCGUCUGUUGCCCAGGCUGUUAUGAAGCUAGAUGAAGCCCCGCUAGUUGAGUGAGAAAAUACUUCACCUUAACUUUUCAGCAUCUGUCCUUGGAGACCUGAGGUGGUGUUCCCACUGCUUCCCUUCCAUCUCUCCCACCCCUGCAUAUUCUCCCAGGAGCCAUGCUGCCACAGGAGAGAUGAGACUAGGUCUUCUGCACCCCUGGGCCAGACUCCGCAGAGACAGCAUCAGCUGAGUAAGGAGGCGAGUACAGCUACUCUGAUCAUGGUCUCCCAAGGUCUUUACCAGCUUUACGGAAAUCGCAGUGUUUCAUUGGCAAGCGAUUCCUUAACACCCUCUGACAAAACCCAUGCCAAUGCCUCCCUCCAUUAAUACAGACAGGUUUUUUUUUUAAGUUUUAAUUAAUUUAUUUAAGUAAUCUCUAUCCCAAUGUGGGACCCAAAC